rnacentral:rRNA from 1 species
CGGACGGGUGAGUAACGCGUGGGUAACCUGCCUUAUACAGGGGGAUAACAGUCAGAAAUGGCUGCUAAUACCGCAUAAGCGCACAGAGCUGCAUGGCUCAGUGUGAAAAACUCCGGUGGUAUAAGAUGGACCCGCGUUGGAUUAGCUAGUUGGUGGGGUAACGGCCCACCAAGGCGACGAUCCAUAGCCGGCCUGAGAGGGUGAACGGCCACAUUGGGACUGAGACACGGUCCAAACUCCUACGGGAGGCAGCAUG